GAUGAACGCUGGCGGCGUGCCUAAUACAUGCAAGUCGAGCGAACAGACGAGUAUCUUGCUCCUCUGACGUUAGCGGCGGACGGGUGAGUAACACGUGGAUAACCUACCUCUAUGACUUGGAUAACUUCGGGAAACCCGAGCUCAUACCGGAUACUAUAUUUAACCGCAUGGUUCUAUAGUGAAAGACGGUUUUGCUGUCACUUCUAGAUGGAUCCGCUCCUCAUUAGCUAGUUGGUGAGGUAACGGCUUACCAAGGCGGCGAUGGGUAGCCGACCUGAGAGGGUGAUCGGCCACACUGGAACUGAGACACGGUACAGACUCCUACGGGAGGCAGCAGUAGGGAAUCUUCCGCAAUGGGCGAAAGAUUGAAGGAGCAACGCAGCGUGAGUGAUGAAGGUCUUCGGAUCGUAAAACUCUGUUAUUAGGGAAGAACAAAUGUGUAAGUAACUAUGCACGUCUUGACGGUACCUAAUCAGAAAGCCACGGCUAACUACGUG
rnacentral:rRNA from 1 species